rnacentral:tmRNA from 1 species
GGGAUAGACGUGGAUUCGACAGGCUUUAUGAAGUUGUAACGGCAUGCCAUGGUUGCGCAUGUAAAAACGCCGAGGUAAAAUUAACUGCAAACCAAAAUUACGCUUUAGCAGCUUAAUUAGUUAAACAGCUGCGCUUGUGACGAGGUCUCCCUCAAGCCUUGUCAACAGGCUCAGACAUUGAGGGUUGAAUCAAAAAAGCGCCUCGGUUUUUGAUUCGAGAUCCAGAGGCUAGUUCAGCGAUGUUUUGUUCUUUGUACAUCGCUGGAUGAAAUCCGAACAAAGGACUAAGCAUGUAGAAGUUAUGAUGGAUUAAAGUUUGGACAGGGGUUCGACUCCCCUCUAUUCCACCA